UCACUUGAGUGUCCAAAUAGUGCAGAGCACUGGGGUGAUCAGCUGUGAACAAAACAGAAAUCCCUGCCCUCGUGGAGUUCCUUUUCCAGCAUCAGAGGGACAAUAAUAGAAAGUCCAUAAUAUAUAAAGUAUUUACCAGAGUGCCUGACACACAAAUGCAACACGAAUAUUGAUUAUUGGUGUGAUUAUGGAACACGACACAGCUGUGGUUGUUACCUGUGACCUUGAUGUUACAAACAGUAUUGUUUGUCCACUUUAACAACCACAUUUCAAGAGCGUGGGUAGGAAAUCAUGUUUUCUAUGAGCAGAAUACAAGUUUGAAACUGACUGAGGUAAUUCUAGCAAAUCAUUCAGUGUCUAGUGUUGAAUAUUCAUCAAUAUUAUACACUGGCCUCUAGGACCUCACAGACCUAUAUAGAAAUGUCAAAUGGGAUUAUGAAAUAAUUUCAUAGAUACUAAGAAAGGAACUCCAACCAAAAAUAAGGUGUGCCUGCAAAAGGUAUAAUCUUGGUUAUCUGUGGUGUAAUGAUAGGCAGGGAAUGUGUUGAUAAUUGAAGUCAAUACAGAGCCCUCAGCUUCCUGGUUAAUCAAACCUUUUCCCAGAGCUGAUGAGCAGCAAAAUUGCGUGGUUUAAAUUUCACUUCCUUUUAUUGCUCCCAUAGAGCUGCUAAUAAAUAAUAGGCAAACAGAGGCAAGAAACCAGGUAAUUAGUCUGUUGUCGAUGUUUGAAGCUGGAAAGGGUUUUGGAGGCCCCCUUGGUCUAGUUCCCUCAUUCUAGAAGCUAGGAAACCGAGGCUUGGAAAUCCUGAAUGUCCUGAUGGCAGGUCUGCAGAGAGCCUAAACACAAAGACGGUGGCCUGGAGUUGUUUGCCAGGAAUUGGAGUCAGCUGUGUCUAGUUUGAGCUGAGCUGGUUACGAUCGGAUAGCAGCACGGACCCUGUAACUGGGCAUGCGCCGGUGUCUGAUCUGAUGUCUGACAUCGAAAGUGACCUUUUGAUGUUGGCGGGCUGAGAACUCCAUCCUCAGGUGAGGUUACGGAGCAGACCAGAGCAGAGGCUGCAGCCUAUUACAGGAGCGCAGACCAUGAUUACUGGCCUUUCUGGUCACCUUUGCCCACGCCCUGGGGUGCUCCCCAUGCCCUCCGCACAGCAGAUGGCCCUGCCCCUCUAUUCGUUACCGGCGGUGGCCGAGUAAUACAUUGCCCCGAAACUGAUAAGCCAGGAGGCUAAAGAAGUAUGGAGGCAGUCCGUCAGGAAUCUUGCAAAGAAGGCAGCUCUCAGUAGACAGUACUGGAGAUUUUUAUGAACCAUUUUUAGUUCUGUGAAUUGAAGAGACCUCGCCCCUUUUCUACCUCUUUCUGCUGACAGCUGCUCCUGAACACCUCCCUCCCAGCCGGGAGGGCAGCCGGAUGGCUGCCUGUGCAGCUAACGCCAGGAUGGCUCCUGAGCGAGCAUCCAGGGUAUCAGUUUCCUCCUGGAGACUCACGUGUCACCUUCACGUCUCGUGUAUCUUCCAUCAUUUACGUGAAUAUAUCAAGGGCUCUGGUAGAGGCACCAGGCUAUGAAAGCGCAGUCUAACCGGUGGCUGGGAACAAAGGCCGCCUUCAGCUACAAAUGAUUCACUAUGGUGUUGAGACUUUUUUCCCUCCACGAUGACUUUGAAUCCUAAAGAUUAAAUGAGUGUGCUUCCAUUCGCAGAAAAUAAAAGUGAAGGGAUAGCCUAGGAAAAGAAUUACUCUAAAAAAAAUACUGAUUUUAAGAACCAAUUUAGAAAAUUACAAAGGUUUCACAAGGAUGUAGGGUGUACUUGUAAUGGCAGGAGGAAGAUUUAUACCCAACUCUUCUCACAGAUGCUACUGUAACUUAUCAUCCUCAGAUUACUUAGUUUCCAUCAGAAGAUAUCACUAUCUGAUCAGUCUCAUCAUUUCAUAUUGGGUGGCAGUAUGGACAAAGUUAGAGUGAAUUAUUUGAAAGGUCAUGUGACUAUAUCUAACAGAUAUUUAAAAAUAUUUUGUGUGGUUCAUUAGCCAGUUUAAUACAGUGGGUUAACAAAGAAGUUCUAUAGUUCAUCUCUGGAAAAUUGAAACAUGGCUCUUACUUUUCAACCAUUAUUAAAUUAAAAAUAUCAAAAUAUUUUUAAGAAGAUGCAUGUUUCCAGCACAUUCUAUGUCCUUGGGAAGCAAAUAAUAAUGAACAGGAUUAGGAAAUAAUUUCAGAGAAGACAAUGGAACCCCACUCCAGUACUCUUGUCUGGAAAAUCCCAUGGAUGGAGGAGCCUGGUGGGCUGCAGUCCAUGGGGUCACUACGAGUCAGACACGACUGAGCGACUUCACUUUCACUUUUCACUUUGAUGCAUUGGAGGAGGAAAUGGCAACCCACUUCAGUGUUCUUGCCUGGAGAAUCCCAGGGACUGGGGAGCCUACGCUGCCGUCUAUGGGGUCACACAGAGUUGGACACGACUGAAGUGACUUAGCAGCAGGAAAUAAUUUAUACUGAAGUAUAUAACCCUGAGAUGGCGGUGGAUCAGCCCCACCUCUUUUGACCUUGGCCCCUUUAGAGGACAGCCUGGUUUCAACCAAAGUAACCUUGAACUUGGGGAGAGGCUGCAGCCCAGAGACACAGAAUAGGUGUCGUUGGUGCUAAUUCACUGUGCUUAUGCACUGGCGAGCUACAGUCCAUGGGGUCACAAAGAGUCAGACAUGACUGAGCAACUAACACUUUCACUUUAUGCACAGUUUAUUAAGGAAACUUUCAGAUUAUGGAAAUAUUUGACAGUUUCUUCUAGAUAUUCUGUGGCUUCCGUGGUGGCUCAGACGGUAAAGCGUCUGCCUGCAAUGCGGGAGACCUGGUUCGAUUCCUGGGUUGGGAAGAUCCCCUGGAGAAGGAAAUGGCAAUCCACUCCAGCACUCUUGCCUGGAAAAUCCCAUGGACGGAGGAGCUUGAUAAGCUACAGUCCAUGGGGUUGCAAAGAGUCGGACACAACUGAGCAACUUCACUUUACUUCACUUCUAGAUAUUACGAUUCUUCUUCAAAUAGGAUUCUUUUUCAUAUAUUUAAUAUGGUAUUUAAAAGUUGUCAGUAGAGAAAACAUGCUAAAGUCUGAAUACAAGAAAAUAGUUCACAGUAAAGAACAAUUAUAUACUGAGUAUAAUUUGAAAAAUAUUUGAAUAUUAAACUUGUCUUCAUUAAUAUCAGUUACAGGUCCCAAGGAAUAUGUCAUGAUCUCUUCAUUAUUCUACUUUAAACUCACAAUAUUAUCUCCAGGGGAAUUUUAAAAACAUUUUAUCAGGAAGCUUGCUUCUAAGUUGUUUGGUCAGGUCUGUCUUUCGUAAAGUUAACAGUUUCUAAAUAUUUCCAGAUUUGGCUGUCUGAUACCAGAACAAUUACAAAAUAUUUUCGGUAAUACUAUGUCAACAAGGUCUUUGGUAUUAUUAAAACAGGCAUCUAUUAACUGCUUUAAAAUGCUGAAGAUACUAAAAAUAGUUCAAAUUAACUCAAUUAAAACUAAGGACCUAUUCAUACAGUACUAUUUUAUACAUAAUAUUUAUUGAAGACUUACUAUGUUCCAAGCACCUUUCUUUCAGGGCCAUUCAUGUAUUAUUUCAUUUAAUCCUCAAAAUAAUCCAGGGUAAAAAUUAUAAUUUUAUGUCCAUUUUAUAGACAAGGAAACUGAGGCAUAGGCAGGGUAUGUAACUUGUUUCAAGGCACGUAGUUGAUAAGUAGAAGAUGUGGUAUAAAAUCCCAGGUAGCUUGAUGCUGUGCUCUUUGCCCUUGUACUUUAUUAUAUUGCCUCAUAUUAGUUAAUGUUCAUUCAAAAACUGUAUUAAGAUAUGAGACUGCAACCAGUGUAAGAUUCCUUGACAGGAAAAGCAAAGAUGUUUCUGUAAAUCAAUGUUCAUAGCAUCAUCCUCUGUCCCCCAUCACUCACCUUGGCGCUUGGUAGCAGAGUGAGGAAUACACCGUGUCUCCAUGAGCAGAGCUUCAUGGCACCCAGUUCGCAUGUGGGAUCGCUAAAUUCCAAGGCACAGAAGUAACAAUUCCAUAGAAAAUAGGCACCUUUAUAAUUUCUUACAUAUUAGUGAAAUUUCUACAUUUUCAAGAGCAGAUGAUACAUUUAAUUAAAAUAUUGACCUUGAUAUCAAGGAUAGUAUUACAUGCUGAAAUUACAUAUUAAAAUAGAUUGUGGGGGGCUUUUUUUGGGAGGGAAUAUUUAUUGCAACUUCACUUUUUGAUUAAAAUAGAAAAGAAAUCCUCCGAAAAUUACUUUGAUAAAACGGACUUCAAGUUAAAAUCCACAUGAAUCAUGUUGGGUUUUUCAGGAAGAAUCUUGUUUUGGCCUAAAUGAUACCCGAGAUCAACUUAGACCUUCCUACAUUUUUAACGUGAUGGAAGUGCAGUGGUCUCUCAGCUGGUGUCAGAGAGGAAGUACUUUCAGGAAGACUUUGUCUACCAGAGUUAGACCCAGGGAGCAUGGUAGCCUGAAGUCUCCUUGUCUCCUCGGUCUGCUCUUGGUUCUUUAUCACCAGAAAGGCUAGAAAGCAGAAAAAGUGAAAGUUUCUUCUGAACAGAUUCUUUUCAUUACAGACUUCAGAAAUGUCGGAAAGCUAGCAUAGGGCAAUUCGUAUCCCGAAUUCUUUUUUGCUGUAAUAACACGCAGCAACUAAAAUCUUAACAUUUUUGUCAGAUGUGAAAAAACAUACAAUCUUAUUGUUUCUCACAUUUGGUGUUUUUCGGGGGUGGAGGAAUCAAUUAUUUUGUCUUUAGAAGCUGUAAAAUAAAAUUCCAAUAAAAUCCAUGUUACACAUCUAUGCAAACCAAUAAAAAGAGAAUAUUUGCAUGUGUCCUAUUAAUCAAAACCAGUUUCCCGCAAUUCUAAAGACAUAUUCUUCAAGGAGUUUUGCUUAAUCUUCCCUAUCCAAGUUAAAUGGUCAUACUUGGGAAUAUAUGUUUUGUACAUAUAUGCACACAUACAACAGAAAAUAGUUGGGUUUUAACUAUCAGAUAUUUUAGAGGUCAGCAAUGACGACUUUUUUUCCACUUAGGUCUUUAAUUCAAUCUAGUAUUAUACAUGUUUUCUACUCACUUCUGUAGAGACCAGUGUAAACAUUUGGAAGGCAUUUUGUAUGGCAAGUUUGUGUAUUGCAGUUUUUGAGCAAUGCAAACAUCCCCCUUAAAUAAAUGAAAACAGAUCCCAGAAAAGGGUAUGCUUCCAACGCAUUCCCCAAAGAUCUGAGUGCCGCUGUGCAUUCUUGCUCAAUUUAAACAAACUAAACUUCAGUUAGUCUCCCCUCCCCUAAUGGGCACCCCCACUGGGAACAUUGUUAGGUUACCACCAUGGCCAAGGCCUCCGUAC
ensembl:lncRNA